rnacentral:snRNA from 1 species
AGCUUUGUGCAGUUGCAGUAUCAUAGCCGAUGAGGUUUAUCUGAGGCGCUAUUAUUGCUAAAUGAAGAAGUGGAAUACAGAAGCUUUUUAGGGCAGGACCAGUGCGAUUCUAUACGUGUCAUUAUACACUUGUCAGAACUAUAGAACGUACAGCACCACAAGCGAACCCCAGUGUA